rnacentral:tRNA from 1 species
GCCAGAGUGGCGGAAUUGGCAGACGCGCUGGAUUCAAAAUCCAGUGCCCGUUAGGGCGUCCCGGUUCGAGUCCGGGCUCUGGUA